CCUGUUCUUCCCCUCCCCAAAAUCUCGCGCAUCUCUAAUCCCAUGUCUCUCUCGCGCUCGCAUCCCGUCCUGCUGUUGUGUGCAAUUCUCCAGAGAGCUGCCCGCCGUUGCUUGGUUGCUGUCGGCCAGCUGCUUGCCGCCGAGCCACCUGCUGCCUGCCCUAGUCGCCUACCGCCUGCCCCAGCUCCAGCCACUUGCCCCAACCGCUUGCCGCAGCCGCUUGCCCUAGCUUCCUGCCCCAGCCGUCUACCGUAGCCGCCUGUACAGAAAUAGCAGCAAGCAUCCACAUGGCACUAGGAGGUCAUAGAUGCAUGAGGCGUAUGCCCAUUGACACUACUACUCAGGCCGAUGAUGUGGUUACGAUAUAGCUAGAGGCAACACAGAUUGAGAGGUCACCAUCAAUUGGGGAGACUUAGGGUGAUUUGCCCACCCACACCAACAACGUGG